AUUGAACGCUGGCGGCAUGCCUUACACAUGCAAGUCGAACGGUAACGCGGGGCAACCUGGCGACGAGUGGCGAACGGGCGAGUAAUGCAUCGGAACGUGCCCAGUAGUGGGGGAUGGCCCGGCGACAGCCGGAUUAAUACCGCAUACGACCUACGGGUGAAAGGGGGGGAUCGCAAGACCUCUCGCUAUUGGAGCGGCCGAUGUCAGAUUAGGUAGUUGGUGGGGUAAAGGCCUACCAAGCCGACGAUCUGUAGCUGGUCUGAGAGGACGACCAGCCACACUGGGACUGAGACACGGCCCAGACUCCUACGGGAGGCAGCAGUGGGGAAUUUUGGACAAUGGGCGCAAGCCUGAUCCAGCCAUGCCGCGUGCGGGAAGAAGGCCUUCGGGUUGUAAACCGCUUUUGUCAGGGAAGAAAUCUUCUGGGUUAAUACCUCGGGAGGAUGACGGUACCUGAAGAAUAAGCACCGGCUAACUACGUGCCAGCAGCCGCCGUAACAC
rnacentral:rRNA from 1 species